rnacentral:lncRNA from 1 species
GGUAAGAAACUCAAGAACAUUGAAGAACACACAUGAAAACUCAUAAGAGCUCCAUGAAUGUUUUCACUCAAUAAAACUCAAAUUUUUACAACUCAAAAGAGGGCUAACAUCCUAGGGUACUUAGGGGUUCCAAAAGUCACCUUAAAACCAUUUUAACAAGACAAACAAGAACCCAAAAAAUCACUCUUUGGAUUUGGCCGAAUUUCCCAACAUACAUGGCACCAAAUUUUAGUUCCAAUAUUCAUGCUUAAAUGAAAUACAUCUACAACAUUUGAGAUGCUAAAUUUUCAAGCAAAAUUUAUAUUCAAAGCAAGAACAAAGCUUGUAACAUUUACAACAUUUAAAUCACAAAUCAUGAAAAUCACAAAACCCAAAAGGAUUCACCAUAAACUAGGCCUAGGCUCUGAUACCACUUGAAGGAAAAAUUUUGUCCUAGCUAAGAACAAGUAAGAACAUUUGAAUACAUAUGCAAACUAUUAACAUAUUAAAGUAGGCAUUCAUUCAAAAACAAUUCAUAAAACCCAUGACUUUCAAAGCCUAGUAUAUGGUGAACCAAUAAACUCUUUAACAUCAUUUAAAGAGAAGGUAAGA